CUGUAGGGCAAUCUCUGUAAGCAGGGACAAAUGACUCUAAAGGAAAUGAAUCCUAGUCGGUUUUCCCCUUAAGUCAAGAGUCUUGU
rnacentral:pre_miRNA from 1 species